rnacentral:tRNA from 1 species
ACUACUAUUCCCGAGCGGUCAAAGGGGUCAGACUUAAGACCUGAUGCAUUAGCUUCGUGGGUUCGAAUCCCACUGGUAGUACCA